AUCGCUUCUCGGCCUUUUGGCUCAGAUCAAGUGUAGUAUCUGUUCUUAUCAGUUUAAUAUCUGAUACGUCCCCCAUCGGGGGACUACAUAUUAAAUGGAUUUUUCGAACAGUGAGUCGGAAAUGGGGCUUGCUCCGUCCGCUCCACGCAUCGACCCGGUAUUGCAGUACCUCCGGGAACGGUGCAACACUU
rnacentral:snRNA from 1 species